rnacentral:rRNA from 1 species
GUCUUUUUGAAAAUGAUUUAAGGUUGGGCCUGCUCAAUGAUUAAAUUAAAUAGCUGCAGUAUUUUGACUGUACUAAGGUAGCAUAAUCAUUAGUUUCUUAAUUGGGAACUGGAAUGAAGGGUUUGAUGAAAAAAUAACUGUCUCUUUUAUAAAUAUAGAAAUUUAUUUUUAAGUAAAAAAGCUUAAAUAUAAUUAAAAGACGAGAAGACCCUAUAGAGUUUAAUAAUUUAAUAAUAAGUGUUUAUGAAGUUGAUAAUUUAUUUUAAUUACUAAAAUUAUUUGGUUGGGGUGAUUUAAAAAUUUGUUAAACUUUUUAUUUUUUGAAACUUAAAUGUAAGGUUUAUUUGAUCCAUUAGUAGUGAUUAUGAGAAUAAAUUACCUUAGGGAUAACAGCGUAAUCUUUUUUUAGAGUUCAAAUUAAUAAAAGGGAUUGCGA